rnacentral:rRNA from 1 species
UGGGGAAUAUUGCACAAUGGGCGAAAGCCUGAUGCAGCAACGCCGCGUGAGUGAUGAAGGUCUUCGGAUUGUAAAGCUCUGUCUUUUGGGACGAUAAUGACGGUACCAAAGGAGGAAGCCACGGCUAACUACGUGCCAGCAGCCGCGGUAAUACGUAGGUGGCGAGCGUUGUCCGGAUUUACUGGGCGUAAAGGGUGCGUAGGCGGAUGUUUAAGUGAGAUGUGAAAUACCCGGGCUUAACCUGGGUGCUGCAUUUCAAACUGGAUAUCUAGAGUGCAGGAGAGGAGAAUGGAAUUCCUAGUGUAGCGGUGAAAUGCGUAGAGAUUAGGAAGAACACCAGUGGCGAAGGCGAUUCUCUGGACUGUAACUGACGCUGAGGCACGAAAGCGUGGGUAGCAAACAGGAUUAGAUACCCUGGUAGUCCACGCCGUAAACGAUGAGUACUAGGUGUAGGAGGUAUCGACCCCUUCUGUGCCGCAGUAAACACAUUAAGUACUCCGCCUGGGAAGUACGAUCGCAAGAUUAAAACUCUAAAGUGAAUUGAC